AGGGGCUUAGGAUAACUCACUAGACCAAGAGCCUUCAAAGCCCUAAGUGGGGGUGAGAACCCCCCAGCCCCUG
rnacentral:tRNA from 1 species